rnacentral:rRNA from 1 species
AUUGAACGCUGGCGGCGGGCCUAACACAUGCAAGUCGAGCGAGCGGCGGACGGGUGAGUAAUGUCGUGGAAACUGCCUGAUGGAGGGGGAUGACUACUGGAAACGGUAGCUAAUACCGCAUACCAUCAGAUGUGCCCAGUUGGGAUUAGCUGGUAGGUGGGGUAACGGCUCACCUCGGCGACGAUCCCUAGCUGGUCUGAGAGGAUGACCCGCCAAACUGGAACUGGGAAACGGUCCAGACUCCUACGGGAGGCAGAAGAGGGGAAUAUUGCACAAUGGGCGCAAGCCUGAUGCAGCCAUGCCGGGUGUGUGAAGAAGGCCUUCGGGUUGUAAAGCACUUUCAGCGGGGAGGCGUUACCCGAAGAAGAAGCACCGGCUAACUCCGUGCCAGCAGCCGCGGUAAUAC